CCUUCGAUAGCUCAGCUGGUAGAGCGGAGGACUGUAGAUCCUUAGGUCGCUGGUUCGAAUCCGGCUCGAAGGA